UACAGAGGUGGCAAGCGUUGUUCGGAAUUACUGGGCGUAAAGGGCGCGUAGGCGGUCUUCUAAGUCUUGUGUGAAAUCCCUCGGCUUAACUGAGGAACUGCACGGGAUACUGGAUGACUUGAGUUCGGGAGAGGGAAGCGGAAUUCCGGGUGUAGCGGUGAAAUGCGUAGAUAUCCGGAGGAACACCGGUGGCGAAGGCGGCUUCCGGGACCGACACUGACGCUGAGGCGCGAAAGCUAGGGGAGCAAACGGG
rnacentral:rRNA from 1 species